rfam:Brachypodium distachyon strain Bd21 chromosome 3, whole genome shotgun sequence.
GGCCUGAUGCCACGUCUCCAGUAGCUACGUGCACUGACUGCAGAUGCUAUGAUUGGGCCAACAAAGAGUCGUUUGGUGUCUCACAUGUUGAUAGGAACCUGGGAUUGCAUUCCAAUCAGUCUACAGAGCCGGUUAUUGUGAUUACAUCU